rnacentral:rRNA from 1 species
AUUGAACGCUGGCGGCAGGCCUAACACAUGCAAGUCGAGCGGUAACAGAGGAGCUUGCUCCUGCUGACGAGCGGCGGACGGGUGAGUAAUGUAUGGGGAUCUGCCCGAUAGAGGGGGAUAACUACUGGAAACGGUGGCUAAUACCGCAUAAUGUCGCAAGACCAAAGAGGGGGACCUUCGGGCCUCUUGCUAUCGGAUGAACCCAUAUGGGAUUAGCUAGUAGGUGGGGGAAUGGCUCACCUAGGCGACGAUCUCUAGGUGGUCUGAGAGGAAGACCAGCCACACUGGAACUGAGACACGGUCCAGACUCCUACGGGAGGCAGCAGGGGGAAAUAUGGCACAAUGGGGAAAACCCUGAUGCAGCCAUGCCGGGUGUGUGAAGAAGGCCUUAGGGUUGUAAAGCAUUUUCAGUCGGGAGGAAGGGGUUGGGGUUAAUAACCUUAAUCAUUGACGUUACUGACAGAAGAAGCACCGGCUAACCCCGUGCCAGCCGCCGCCGUAA